rnacentral:misc_RNA from 1 species
AAGUCGUAACAAGGUUUCCGUAGGUGAACCUGCGGAAGGAUCAUUACAGUAUUCUUUUGCCAGCGCUUAACUGCGCGGCGAAAAACCUUACACACAGUGUCUUUUUGAUACAGAACUCUUGCUUUGGUUUGGCCUAGAGAUAGGUUGGGCCAGAGGUUUAACAAAACACAAUUUAAUUAUUUUUAUUGAUAGUCAAAUUUUGAAUUAAUCUUCAAAACUUUCAACAACGGAUCUCUUGGCUCUC